UGUUUAGUUUUGUUUUAAUCAUGCUUAUAGGUAGAAUCCUCCGUCAGAAAUGGUGUGCUUCUCAAUGGCCAUGAAAUGGGUUAAAAAUGUAUUUAGUGGGUAGAGAAUAUGGAUCCCAAAAUCACAUAAGGUAGUAGUUAAGCAAGAUCCUCUGGUACAAUGUGGUUCUUUUGGACUCCAUAGUUAAUUGUUGAGGUCCUCUUCAAGUUAGAGUGCUAUACACUUUUGUAGACAUGUCUUACUCAGGCCAACACUUUUAUGUAAAUAUGGGGGAGUGAGAUUUUGUGUAGAAUCAAUGUGGUAAUUGGAUGUCCAGCUUUAGGCACAGUUGUUUACAUCUGCUACUAUGGCGCAUCAUCAGUUUUGGCUGCUGCUUUUUUUCUUUUCCCUUUUGUAGAUAUUAUUCCAUCUAGCUAACAAAAACUUUGGUUUGGUAUAAAGUUCCUUCUCUUUUCAACUCCUGCCACUAGCUGCGAUUGAUGGUUCUUAUCUUGUUUACCACUAGCAAAAGCCAAGUCCAAAGGCCAGUUAACUGAUGAAAAAGCGUGUGCCACAUCACAGGUAUUAGAGUAAGUUGUUUAUGCCGGAUCUUAUGGAUUCUGAAUACGGGAGCCUAAAUGCACAAGUCACAAAGUCUGACAUUUGGGUAGGUUUGAAUGCUAAAGCCAUAAUGUCUGACAAAUACACGGGUCUAACAGAUUGCGAGAAUAUGCACUCAACCCUUUGCUGUUAACAGAGCUGAAUAGUUGAAUAUCAUCUUUCUUUUUGAUCAAAAAAGAAAAGGUUUGAGCAUAUUGCGUCAUCAUACAUGCAGCUUGUCGUCUUCUUAGUAAUAUUAGAUUUUUGCAGCAGUUAAUGGUUCAUUUAGCAGUCUUAGCUGUCCCUGUUGAAUUUAGAUGGCUUCUGUUUGGCUUAGAAACAUGCUUUUUCAUUUUUAAUUACUGUUAUCUAAAGAGGAUGAAUCCUAAUAUUUUUUCCUUAACUAGAGGACUAGAUCUAAGUAGUACUCUGAAGUGAUUUUAGGUUUUCAUGAUGCAGAGGGCAUGGCGUGUUUAAAAGCCAAUUUCUCCAGAAAAAGUAAGUCAAUAUCCUUCUGAUUACCACUAGAUGUUCAGCUUUAUACCUUAUCUCCACUAAGGUUGUGAUUCUUUGUUCCUUUGGAUCGUUUUUUUCCUCAUCUGCCUUGUAAGUUGUAACUAUCCUGAUCAUUGAUAUUGAUUGGUUUUAGGAAUUCAUUGGCGAAGUUUCUGAAUUGAUUCGUUGCUCUUGAAGCGAAUCUAUUGCUAUAGGGGGGGUCCUUAACUGAAGGCCAGUUUUUUAAGAUGGUCUGAAGUUUGCUAAAACCUUGGCUUAGUUUUUUUCCGAGUUUUGAAAAGGAAAAUGAUUGAACAGCUAGAACUUUAACAUGCAAGAUUAAUUAUUCCAAGCAAGUUCGAGUACAAGGAUCAAACAUAAAACUUAAUUUGGCUAUGAUAGAAGGAAAACAAAAUGAGGUAAAGUAGCUGUUCUGUUGAUGGUCUAUGUGAGUCCCUUUUAGAUCACUUGUUUCUCAUAAUUUCCCUUUUGUGUAAUUCAUGGUGGUCAACGCUAAAUCUUUUUUAUUCCUGUAAUUUAUAUUUUAUAGAUAGCCUUUAAGGUUGACAUAAAACAAAAGAAUACAUAAAUAUUGGGAAAAAGUAACUUAAGCUUUCUAUUUAAGAAGAGAAUAGAUGACUUACACUCUGACUAAUUGAUGUGUUGUAAGUGUAACCAGAUUUUGUUUCACACUCCAUCCCAAACAAGAAGUUUUGAUAUUGUAUUUGGUGAUCUUUUGCUUCCCUACACUGAACUGGUACAACACUGUCACCUCCACAAUUCUUCUCAGGAACCUUGAAUUCCUGCUGCUGGUUAUACUGCUCACACAACUGAUUAUCUGCACCUGAAUUGUACUCUAAGAGGUCCAGGUACUCAUCAACCUCUCCUCCUCCAGUCAAAAACCCAUUUGUAUUUUGGUUGUUGCUGCUCUUAACUGGGUUAAGUAGCAACCAUGAAGCAGCUUCAUCUUCAUCCCCUUCAUGAUCAGUGGUGUGAUCAUCUCCCUCUGGCAGGGUCAGGAACCUGUCCUCAGACAUCCUCCCGCCUUGGGGACCGUAAACGCAGCCUGCAACGGGCAUAAUUGGGACCCGUUGAUGGCGGCGAGCCAAUGGGUUAGCUGAGUGGAUUUCAGCAUCACAGGUAGCACAUAGAGAUGCUGCAUCAGCCUUACACAGGAAAGCUGCUGGGGCACGCUCACAUGCUUCACACACCCAAACUCUUUCGUGCCUCGACGCCACCUGAUUGGCGGCAUGGAUUCGUGCAUCGCAGCUGGUGCACAAGAAAGCUGAAUCUGCUCUGCAGUACACUGUGCACGGUGCUGCACGGCACGUGUCACAAACACGUGCCCAACUAUUGGUAUCACUUCCUGAUACUUCCUCCUUCAUCAUCUCUCUCUCUCUCUCUUUUUCUCCUUUCUCCUCCUUUUCUCUCUCUUUCUCUCUUUCUCUCUCUACAAGCGUGUUCUUCCUGUUCUGAUUUCUAAGCAAGUGAGUUUAGCUGGGAAAAGGAGGAAGUAAGUAGUAAGUGUUAUGCAAGGACUCAAGUGGGGUGGGGAGAAUCUAGCGAGUGACAGGUGGCGACUAGUUAGUGGCCGAAGAAAGUUGUUGCUUUAUCUUGUGGCUGGCUACGCUUUAAGUGGGAGCCACAACCAUUGGUGUUCAUAGGGGCCCACAAUUUUGCUGCUGUGACCAUAUGGAAAUAUGGAACUAUUUGAUUAUAUGAGGACCACAUAGAGCAUAUAGUUAAGGGCAUGAAAGAUGCAUUACUUUUCUUUUUCUUUUCCCCUUUAGUGUGUCUCUUGGACCCUGUGGAGUGACAAAAGCAUUGUCCUUUUUGUGGUGGGCAGUUUACUACCCAUGCCAUAUCCUGCAUAUUGACAGUUUCUCACUUGUGAAUACCACGUGGUGUUGUUUAAGGUUUUCUUUGUCAGUCAUACUGCAGAAUGCAGAUUGCUAGGAAAGUUUAUAGUUGGACUAAACUGGUUAAUUCUAUGAUUUUUCAGUAGAAGAGGAAAUACAGUAAUUGCAAAUUAACUUGUUCUACAGUGAAGUGAAGCUUAGCUAGUUUAAGAGUGAACGCGCAUGGGCUGGUUUACCUUCUUGUUUAAGAUGACUAGAAUAGUAAACUUUUGAUUAAGAUGAGAUAUGGAAUUUUACAGGUGGAUAACUAUGGAUUUUGGUACAUCCUUUUCCCUUUUCCGACAAUAAAUGUCUUUGUAGCUAUGUGCUGUGUUAGAACAAUGAUUUCGCAAAAGGAUCAUGGCUUGAGUUCUAAGUCAGUUAUACUAUACUAUAGAUUAUGCAAGUUUAAAAUCUUAGGAGCAGUAGUUCUUAACUCUUUAGUUAUCAUAAAUACCUGAAAUUUCUAGAAAACUCAGCUUAAUUUACCCUUCAAAUAAUCGAACUAGGAUUCACACUUGUAGUUAUGAAGAUAGAUACAAUCCUACACUAGUAAAUAAUCUAGCGUCAUCCUGAUAUAUCUUUACCGUCAUAUCUCAAUUUACACUUUUCUUUCUAUUGUUCUCCGUAUGUUCUUUGUAACAUGGAUUUGACAUUACAUUGAACUCUGGAAGAUCACAUAGUGAGGAAGAUGUCAAAGAUGGAUGCCUGAAGUAGUUCCCAUAUUCUGAAACUCAGCUGGAGCAACUAUAACAGCUAUCGUCAAGUGGAAAUCCCUCUGUUUGCAGUUUGUAGUGAGGCUACAAUGUUAUCAUGGCUACUUCUGCAGACAGUCACAAGUACUCAGUGGGAAUGACUGUUAAGAUACAGUUAGUUCUGAAAGUGUAAAAAGAUUUGCUGAGUCGGACAAUUACUUGGACAAGAGAAGUUCUGUACACCUAAUAUUAUCAUGCCAUGUAGGCAGCUACUAAAAGAUCAGGAUUCAUUCUCACCACAACUUUUGAUCACAGUUUGGAACUCACCUUAAGGUCUAUCAACACACCCUAUCUCUUACUGUCUACCUGGAUUAUCUUUAUUUGUCACAUUUUUGUUCCGGUGUACUAUGCACCCGAGUAUACCGUGUACAUGAUAUAUUUAUGGACUAUGGUUAUUUCAUGUUGAUUUGUUUAUAGGAACUCUCUCAUUUCGAUCAUUUACUCAUUUGAAGCCUUCUAAUAAGCACUUGUGGAAUAACAUAGCUUUGGAUGUACCAUGCAUGCUGUAGACUCAUAUAUUUAAUAAAAAAAAUUAUUUUGUUUC